CGGCGUCGAGCGGCGGACGGGUGAGUAAUGCCUAGGAAAUUGCCCUGAUGUGGGGGAUAACCAUUGGAAACGAUGGCUAAUACCGCAUAAUACCUACGGGUCAAAGAGGGGGACCUUCGGGCCUCUCGCGUCAGGAUAUGCCUAGGUGGGAUUAGCUAGUUGGUGAGGUAAUGGCUCACCAAGGCGACGAUCCCUAGCUGGUCUGAGAGGAUGAUCAGCCACACUGGAACUGAGACACGGUCCAGACUCCUACGGGAGGCAGCAGUGGGGAAUAUUGCACAAUGGGCGCAAGCCUGAUGCAGCCAUGCCGCGUGUGUGAAGAAGGCCUUCGGGUUGUAAAGCACUUUCAGUCGUGAGGAAGGUAGUGUAGUUAAUAGCUGCAUUAUUUGACGUUAGCGACAGAAGAAGCACCGGCUAACUCCGUGCCAGCAGCCGCGGUAAUACGGAGGGUGCGAGCGUUAAUCGGAAUUACUGGGCGUAAAGCGCAUGCAGGUGGUUUGUUAAGUCAGAUGUGAAAGCCCGGGGCUCAACCUCGGAAUAGCAUUUGAAACUGGCAGACUAGAGUACUGUAGAGGGGGGUAGAAUUUCAGGUGUAGCGGUGAAAUGCGUAGAGAUCUGAAGGAAUACCGGUGGCGAAGGCGGCCCCCUGGACAGAUACUGACACUCAGAUGCGAAAGCGUGGGGAGCAAACAGGAUUAGAUACCCUGGUAGUCCACGCCGUAAACGAUGUCUACUUGGAGGUUGUGGCCUUGAGCCGUGGCUUUCGGAGCUAACGCGUUAAGUAGACCGCCUGGGGAGUACGGUCGCAAGAUUAAAACUCAAAUGAAUUGACGGGGGCCCGCACAAGCGGUGGAGCAUGUGGUUUAAUUCUAUGCAACGCGAAGAACCUUACCUACUCUUGACAUCCAGAGAACUUUCCAGAGAUGGAUUGGUGCCUUCGGGAACUCUGAGACAGGUGCUGCCAGGCUGUCGUCAGCUCGUGUUGUGAAAUGUUGGGUUAAGUCCC
rnacentral:rRNA from 1 species